CAGUCGAACGCGAAAGCCCCGCAAGGGGUUAGUAGAGUGGCAAACGGGUGAGUAACACGUGGGUGACCUGCCUCAGAGUGGGGGAUAACGACCCGAAAGGGUCGCUAAUACCGCAUAACAUCCUGCGCUUGGAUGCGUGGAGAUCAAAGCCGGGGAUCGCAAGACCUGGCGCUUAGAGAGGGGCCCGCGGCCGAUUAGCUAGUUGGUGAGGUAACGGCUCACCAAGGCAACGAUCGGUAUCCGGCCUGAGAGGGCGGACGGACACACUGGGACUGAGACACGGCCCAGACUCCUACGGGAGGCAGCAGUGGGGAAUUGUUCGCAAUGGGCGCAAGCCUGACGACGCAACGCCGCGUGGAGGACGAAGAUCUUCGGAUCGUAAACUCCUUUCGAUCGGGAAGAACGGCUUCCGGGUGAAUACCCUGGAAGAGUGACGGUACCGAGAGAAGAAGCCCCGGCUAACUCCGUGCCAGCAGCCGCG
rnacentral:rRNA from 1 species